CUGCGCCAAUGGUACUGUGGCUCAAGCCCCGGAAGAGUAGGGCGUCGCCAGGC
rnacentral:rRNA from 1 species